UAACCUACCCAUCAGAGGGGGAUAACACUUGGAAACAGGUGCUAAUACCGCAUAACAGUAUAUGCCGCAUGGCAUAAGAGUGAAAGGCGCUUUCGGGUGUCGCUGAUGGAUGGACCCGCGGUGCAUUAGCUAGUUGGUGAGGUAACGGCUCACCAAGGCCGCGAUGCAUAGCCGACCUGAGAGGGUGAUCGGCCACACUGGGACUGAGACACGGCCCAGACUCCUACGGGAGGCAGCAUG
rnacentral:rRNA from 1 species